GACGAACGCUGGCGGCGUGCUUAACACAUGCAAGUCGAGCGGUAAGGCCCUUUCGGGGGUACACGAGCGGCGAACGGGUGAGUAACACGUGGGUGACCUGCCCUCAGCUCUGGGAUAAGCCUGGGAAACUGGGUCUAAUACCGGAUAUGACCCCAUGACGCAUGUCGUGGGGUGGAAAGCCUUGUGCGGCUGAGGAUGGGCCCGCGGCCUAUCAGCUUGUUGGUGGGGUGAUGGCCUACCAAGGCGACGACGGGUAGCCGGCCUGAGAGGGCGACCGGCCACACUGGGACUGAGACACGGCCCAGACUCCUACGGGAGGCAGCAGUGGGGAAUCUUGCGCAAUGGGCGAAAGCCUGACGCAGCGACGCCGCGUGAGGGAUGACGGCCUGGUGUAACU
rnacentral:rRNA from 1 species